AUACCAGCUUAUUUACGAUUUAAGAUAUAAACAACAUUCAGUUCUUCUGGUGAUUAUACCUCGAAAAAUAAUUUGCAUAUAUCAUCAUUAUGGCAAAGUUUUGGGCACUCUUCAUGCUGAUCAUUGCAGCGCUCAUGAUCAUCCCUGCCGUCGUCACUGGUUCCAAACAUUACCCAAAAUACAACAAUUACCCAAAACACAACUAUCCAAGAUAUCAGUCAGGUGGAUAUCAUCCACACAACAAACACCAUGGCUGAAGAUGAAGAAUUACGAUUUCACGUUUAACGACAUGUAUUAAUUUUACGAUUUGAAAUAUAUCCUCAAUGGAUCUUUUAUGAUAA